UACGUAGGGUGCGAGCGUUAAUCGGAAUUACUGGGCGUAAAGCGUGCGCAGGCGGUGAGCUGUGUCCGAUGUGAAAGCCCCGGGCUUAACCUGGGAAUGGCAUUGGAAACUGGCUCGCUGGAGUGUGGCAGAGGGGGGUGGAAUUCCGCGUGUAGCAGUGAAAUGCGUAGAGAUGCGGAGGAACACCGAUGGCGAAGGCAGCCCCCUGGGCUGACACUGACGCUCAUGCACGAAAGCGUGGGGAGCAAACAGG
rnacentral:rRNA from 1 species